CGCACAUCGCGCCCUUUGGCAUUCCGAGGGGCAUGCCUGUUCGAGCGUCAUUACACCACUCAAGCCUGGCUUGGUAUUGGGCGAGGAGGUCCCCUCCCGCCCCAAUUUCGUCGGCUGGACCGUCCGUAUCUCAGCGUUGUGGUAAUCAAAUUCGCUGGCGAGAAGGGCGUCCGCGCCGUUAAACGUUUUAUCUAAGGUUGACCUCGGAUCAGGUAGGGAUACCCGCUGAACUUAA
rnacentral:misc_RNA from 1 species